ACGAACGCUGGCGGCGUGCCUAAUACAUGCAAGUCGAACGCUUCUUUUUCCACCGGAGCUUGCUCCACCGGAAAAAGAGGAGUGGCGAACGGGUGAGUAACACGUGGGUAACCUGCCCAUCAGAAGGGGAUAACACUUGGAAACAGGUGCUAAUACCGUAUAACAAUCGAAACCGCAUGGUUUUGAUUUGAAAGGCGCUUUCGGGUGUCGCUGAUGGAUGGACCCGCGGUGCAUUAGCUAGUUGGUGAGGUAACGGCUCACCAAGGCGACGAUGCAUAGCCGACCUGAGAGGGUGAUCGGCCACAUUGGGACUGAGACACGGCCCAAACUCCUACGGGAGGCAGCAGUAGGGAAUCUUCGGCAAUGGACGAAAGUCUGACCGAGCAACGCCGCGUGAGUGAAGAAGGUUUUCGGAUCGUAAAACUCUGUUGUUAGAGAAGAACAAGGAUGAGAGUAACUGUUCAUCCCUUGACGGUAUCUAACCAGAAAGCCACGGCUAACUACGUGCCAGCAGCCGCGGUAAUACGUAGGUGGCAAGCGUUGUCCGGAUUUAUUGGGCGUAAAGCGAGCGCAGGCGGUUUCUUAAGUCUGAUGUGAAAGCCCCCGGCUCAACCGGGGAGGGUCAUUGGAAACUGGGAGACUUGAGUGCAGAAGAGGAGAGUGGAAUUCCAUGUGUAGCGGUGAAAUGCGUAGAUAUAUGGAGGAACACCAGUGGCGAAGGCGGCUCUCUGGUCUGUAACUGACGCUGAGGCUCGAAAGCGUGGGGAGCAAACAGGAUUAGAUACACUGGUAGUCCACGACGUAAACGAUGAUGGCUAAGUGUUGGAGGGUUUCCGCCCUUCAGUGCUGCAGCUAACGCAUUAAGCACUCCGCCUGGGGAGUACGACCGCAAGGUUGAAACUCAAAGGAAUUGACGGGGGCCCGCACAAGCGGUGGAGCAUGUGGUUUAAUUCGAAGCAACGCGAAGAACCUUACCAGGUCUUGACAUCCUUUGACCACUCUAGAGAUAGAGCUUCCCCUUCGGGGGCAAAGUGACAGGUGGUGCAUGGUUGUCGUCAGCUCGUGUCGUGAGAUGUUGGGUUAAGUCCCGCAACGAGCGCAACCCUUAUUGUUAGUUGCCAUCAUUUAGUUGGGCACUCUAGCAAGACUGCCGGUGACAAACCGGAGGAAGGUGGGGAUGACGUCAAAUCAUCAUGCCCCUUAUGACCUGGGCUACACACGUGCUACAAUGGGAAGUACAACGAGUCGCAAAGUCGCGAGGCUAAGCUAAUCUCUUAAAGCUUCUCUCAGUUCGGAUUGUAGGCUGCAACUCGCCUACAUGAAGCCGGAAUCGCUAGUAAUCGCGGAUCAGCACGCCGCGGUGAAUACGUUCCCGGGCCUUGUACACACCGCCCGUCACACCACGAGAGUUUGUAACACCCGAAGUCGGUGAGGUAACCUUUUGGAGCCAGCCGCCUAAGGUGGGAUAGAUGAUUGGGGUG
rnacentral:rRNA from 1 species